UACGUAGGGUCCGAGCGUUGUCCGGAAUUAUUGGGCGUAAAGGGCUCGUAGGCGGUUUGUCGCGUCGGGAGUGAAAUCUUACAGCUUAACUGUGAACUUGCUUCCGAUACGGGCAGACUUGAGGCAUUCAGGGGAGAACGGAAUUCCUGGUGUAGCGGUGAAAUGCGCAGAUAUCAGGAGGAACACCGGUGGCGAAGGCGGCAUCCUGGACCAAUACUGACACUGAGGAGCGAAAGCCAGGGGAGCAAACGGG
rnacentral:rRNA from 1 species